UUUUAAAGCAACCACUUUUCUGAAGUGGUUUAUCAGCUGUAUAAGUUUUCUGGUAGAACUUUUGGGGUCACUUAUAUAUAAUAGUACAUCAUCUGUAAAUAGGGAUGUUUUUACUUCUUCCUUUCCAAUUUGGACCCCCUGAUCUCUUUUAGUUAUACUACUGUUCUAGCUAUAACUUCAAGUACUACAUUGAAGAUACAUAGAGAGAGUGGGCAGCCUUGUCUUGUCCCUGAUUUUAGUAUAAUUGCUUUGAAUUUUUCCCCAUUUAAUUUGAUUUUGGCUAUCUGCUUGCUGUAUAUUACCUUUAUUAUGUCUAUGUAUGGGCCUUGUAACCCUGAUCUUUACAGAACUUUUAUCAUGAAGUGGUGCUUGUUUUUAUCAAAGGCAUUUUUUUUGCAUCUAAUGAGAUAAACAUGUUUAUUUUUUUCUUCCAGUGAAUUACAGAGAUGGAUUUAAAUAUGUUGAAUCAUCCCCACAUUCCUGCGAUGAUGUUUACUUGAUCAUGGUGGAUGAUGUAUUUGAUGUGAUCCUGGUUUGGUUUUCUAGUAUUUUAUUGAGUACUUUUCCAUAUAAGUCUGUAAGGGAAAUGGCUCUGAAAUUUUCUUUUUUGUUGGGUCUUUGUGUGGUUUAAGGUAUUAGAGUGACUGUAGCCUCAUAGAAUGAAUUUGGCAAUAUCCCUUCUGUUAUAUUUUGUGGAAUAGUUUCAGGAGUGUUGGAAUGAGGUCCUCUUUGGAAGUCUGGUAGAAUUCCAUGCUACAACCAUCUGGCUCUGGGAUUUUUUGGUUGGGAGACCUCUGAUGACAGCUUCUAUUUUCUUAGAGGUUAUAGGACUGUUUAAACUGCUUACCUUAUCUUAAUUUAAUGUUGGCAAGUGACAUAUAUCAGGAAAAUCUUCCAUUUCCUUUUGAUUUUCCAAACUUGUAGAAUACAGUCUUUUGAAAUAAGACCUAAUGAUUCUUUGGAGUUACACUCCCUUUUCAUAACUGAUUUUGUUUAUUGGGAUACUAUCUCUCUCCCUUUUUGUUAGCUUCUCUAGAGCUUUGUCUAUCUUGUUGAUGUUCAAAAAAACAGCUCUUGGUUUCACUGAUUCUUUGUAUUGUUCCCAUUUUUUUUUCUUUGACACUAACUUCAGCUAUGAGUUUGAUUAUUUCCUCCUGUCUACUCCUCUUAGAUGUUUACUUCAGUCUGUUCUAGAGCUUUUACAUGUACUUUUAAAUUGCUGCUAUGAGAAUUCCGUAAUUCUUUUUAGAAAGGCACUUAAUGCUAUGAACCUUCCUUCUCCUUAGCACUGCUUUCAUUGUGUCCCAGAAGUUUAGGUAUGUUGUCUCUUCAUUUUCACUGAAUUCUAGAAGAUCUAUAUUUUCUUUCUUUAUUUCUUCCCUGACCCAAUGAUUACUGAGUCAUUCAGUUUCCAUUAGUUUUAUAGGUUUUCUAUUGUUUCCAUUGUUAUUGAACUCUAGCUUUAAUCCAUGGUGGUCUGAUAAAAUACAAGGUGUUAUUACAAAUUUCUUAUACUUGUUGAGGCUUGCUUUCUGACCAAGUUAAUGGGCAAUCUUGAAGAAGUUUCUGUGAUGUGCUGAGAAGAUGGUAUAUCCUUUUUUGUCUGGGUGAAAAUUCUGUAAAUAUCUGUUGAAUCCAUUUGAUUUGAUCAUUAGUUAGUUUGAUUGUUUCUCUAUCUAGUUUCUGUUUUCAUGAUUUGUCCUUUGGUUAGUGUGGUGUUUUGGAGUCUCCCACUAUUACUGUGGACAUAUAAGUGUAUUAUUUAAGCUUUAGUAAUGCUUCUUCUACAAAUGUAGGUGCCCUUGUGUUUGAAGCAAAAUAUUCAGAAUUGAAACAUCAUCUUGGUGGAUUUUUGAUAUGAUAUGUAUCCUUUUACUAUGAUAUGCAUCCUUUCCCAUAUCUUUUGAGUAAAUUCAGUUAAAAGUUUAUUUUUAUUAGAUAUCAGGAUGGCUUCUUUCAAUUUGCUUCUUGGGUCCAUUUCCUUGAAAAAGCUAUUUCCAGCCCUUCACUCUGAGGUAAUGUCCUCUUUUUUUGUUAAGAUGUGUUUCUUGUUUGCAGCAGUCCUACUUAUGCAUCUAUUCUGUUAGUCUGUGUUUGUUUUUUUUUUUUUUUUGAGGAAUUGAAUCCAUUAAUGUUGAGUGAUAUUAAUAACUAAUGUUUGCUACUGCUGGUAAUUUUGAUUUUUAUGGUUGUAGUGAGUUUCUGUGUUUCUCUCCUUUUGGUUUUGCAGCAAUGGUGUUUUUUAUAUCUUAUUUGUUUUCUUGGGUGUGGUUAACUUUAUUUGCUUGGAGUUUUCCUUCUAGUGUACGUUAAAGCUGAGAAGCAUAGACAUUGGUGUUUUGGGGUCCACAGCACAGCCUCUUACUUGCUGUGGAGUCACUAGAGUCCUAGCACUCAGAAACCAUGUGGACUGGGCACCACCAUUUUGAAUCCUCUUCAAAUAUCCAUCUUUUAAAUGGAAAUAUUUUUUUUCUGGUGCUGGAGAAAGACACAGGACCUUUUUCCAACUAAGGACACGUUACACACUAUACUAUCUUCUCUCUCAUAAAUGAUAUUUCUACUUGUGUUUAGUAACUCUAGCAUUACUUCAAAGGGGAAUAAUUUUAAUCUUGCUAUACAACUGGGGAGACUCCUAAACAAACUAAGCACCUUUAAAAAGAAACCCAUAUCAGAGAGAGGGAAAAUGAAUUUCUCUUAAAGGUCAACCAGUAAUCUGUGUGGGCCACUCAUAUAAAAUUUUGUCUCUCUUCAGCUGCAUCCAUUUUUGAGGAAAAUUAAAGUGACAAAUGCUGCUGGAGAUGAAAUAAGCUUUGAUGAGAACAAGAAUGUCAUGGAAACAUAUGAUAUACAAAACUUUAUUGCAUAUAAUAAGCAAAAUUCAUUAAUACUUAAAGUGGGAGAAUUUGUCUUCAAGAGUCCACAAGACCAAGGCUUUUUCAUCAAUGAAGUUCUGAUUCAAUGGCCAAGCAAUUUUAAUCAGACUCCUCAAUCUGUAUGUACACAGAGCUGUGGCCCAGGAUUCUGGAAAGUUCUACAAGAAGAAAGACCCAUUUGCUGUUUUUCUUGUGUAUUUUGUCCGGAGUGGCACAUUUCCAACCAGACAGGUAGAAAAAUAACACCUAUCCUCAACUGCUUGGGAAUGUAGAAGGGGAAAGUUACAAACUGACUAUGGUGUCAUAAUGCAAUGCUGUUCUCCAUGUCUCUUUCCCUCAUCCCUGAAUCCAUUAGUAAUCACUGCUGAUGCCACAAAAUGUGUGAAGAUUUGAGUGGCAAUUCUCUUGCUAUUGUGUCAUAUGAAAACUACUAAAAAAAAACCUGCCUUUUGGUGCAUGACAUGGCUAUCUCCAUGGUAUAGGUUCCCCAUUAAUUGUGAGAUCUCCACUUGUCCAGAAUUGAUUUUUAUUUCUGCAAUAAACAAACCUAAUGAUGUUUGCCUGAAGAUAACUCCAGGAAAA